rnacentral:rRNA from 1 species
GAUGAACGCUGGCGGCGUGCCUAAUACAUGCAAGUCGAACGCGCAGCGAAAGGUGCUUGCACCUUUCAAGCGAGUGGCAAACGGGUGAGUAACACGUGGAUAACCUGCCUCAAGGCUGGGGAUAACAUUUGGAAACAGAUGCUAAUACCGAAUAAAACUUAGUAUCGCAUGAUACAAAGUUAAAAGGCGCUACGGCGUCACCUAGAGAUGGAUCCGCGGUGCAUUAGUUAGUUGGUGGGGUAAAGGCUUACCAAGACGAUGAUGCAUAGCCGAGGUGAGAGACUGAUCGGCCACAUUGGGACUGAGACACGGCCCAAACUCCUACGGGAGGCUGCAGUAGGGAAUCUUCCACAAUGGGCGCAAGCCUGAUGGAGCAACGCCGCGUGUGUGAUGAAGGCUUUCGGGUCGUAAAGCACUGUUGUAUGGGAAGAAAUGCUAAAAUAGGGAAUGAUUUUAGUUUGACGGUACCAUACCAGAAAGGGACGGCUAAAUACGUGCCAGCCGCCGCCGUAA